UUCGAGCGCGUCNCUUUUAGAGCGANCGGCAAACGGUGAGUAACGCGUGGGAAUNUACCCAUUUCUACGGAAUAACACAGAGAAAUUUGUGCUAAUACCGUAUACGCCCUUUAGGGAGAAAGAUUUAUCGGAGAUGGAUGAGCCCGCGUUGGAUUAGCUAGUUGGUGAGGUAACGGCUCACCAAGGCGACGAUCCAUAGCUGGUCUGAGAGGAUGAUCAGCCACACUGGGACUGAGACACGGCCCAG
rnacentral:rRNA from 1 species